UACGUAGGUGGCAAGCGUUGUCCGGAUUUAUUGGGUUUAAAGGGUCCGUAGGCGGUUUUAUAAGUCAGUGGUGAAAUCCGGUAGCUCAACUAUCGAACGGCCAUUGAUACUGUAGAACUUGAAUUAUUGUGAAGUAACUAGAAUAUGUAGUGUAGCGGUGAAAUGCUUAGAUAUUACAUGGAAUACCAAUUGCGAAGGCAGGUUACUAACAAUACAUUGACGCUGAUGGACGAAAGCGUGGGGAGCGAACAGG
rnacentral:rRNA from 1 species